rnacentral:rRNA from 1 species
UGGGGGAUAUUGCACAAUGGGCGAAAGCCUGAUGCAGCGACGCCGCGUGAGGGAAGACGGCCUUCGGGUUGUAAACCUCUGUCAUUCGGGACGAAUUAGAUGACGGUACCGAAGAAGGAAGCUCCGGCUAACUACGUGCCAGCAGCCGCGGUAAUACGUAGGGAGCGAGCGUUGUCCGGAAUUACUGGGUGUAAAGGGAGCGUAGGCGGGAAAGCAAGUUGGAAGUGAAAUGCAUGGGCUUAACCCAUGAGCUGCUUUCAAAACUGUUUUUCUUGAGUGAAGUAGAGGCAGGCGGAAUUCCUAGUGUAGCGGUGAAAUGCGUAGAUAUUAGGAGGAACACCAGUGGCGAAGGCGGCCUGCUGGGCUUUAACUGACGCUGAGGCUCGAAAGCGUGGGUAGCAAACAGGAUUAGAUACCCUGGUAGUCCACGCUGUAAACGAUGAUUACUAGGUGUGGGGGAUUUCGGUCCUCCGUGCCGGAGCAAACGCAAUAAGUAAUCCACCUGGGGAGUACGGCCGCAAGGCUGAAACUCAAAGGAAUUGACGGGGGCCCGCACAAGCAGUGGAUUAUGUGGUUUAAUUCGAAGCAACGCGAAGAACCUUACCAGGUCUUGACAUCCGAUGCAUAGCUCAGAGAUGAGUGAAAUCCCUUCGGGGACAUCGAGACAGGUGGUGCAUGGUUGUCGUCAGCUCGUGUCGUGAGAUGUUGGGUUAAGUCCCGCAACGAGCGCAACCCCUAUUGAUAGUUGCUACGCAAGAGCACUCUAUCGAGACUGCCGUUGACAAAACGGAGGAAGGUGGGGAUGACGUCAAAUCAUCAUGCCCUUUAUGACCUGGGCUACACACGUAAUACAAUGGCGCAAAACAGAGGGAAACAAGACCGCGAGGUGGAGCAAAACCCUAAAAGGCGUCUUAGUUCAGAUUGCAGGCUGCAACUCGCCUGCAUGAAGGUGGAAUUGCUAGUAAUCGCGGAUCAGCAUGCCGCGGUGAAUACGUUCCC